UACAGAGACUGCAAGCGUUAUUCGGAUUCACUGGGCGUAAAGGGUGCGCAGGCGGCCGUGUGUGUGAGGCGUGAAAGCCUGAUGCUUAACAUCGGAAUUGCACCUCAAACUACACGGCUAGAGCAUUGGAGAGGGUAGCGGAAUUCACGGUGUAGCAGUGAAAUGCGUAGAUAUCGUGAGGAACACCAGAGGCGAAGGCGGCUACCUGGACAAUUGCUGACGCUCAGGCACGAAAGCGUGGGGAGCAAAAGGG
rnacentral:rRNA from 1 species